rnacentral:tRNA from 1 species
GGGGGUAUCGCAUAGCGGCAAUUGCAUCAGACUGUAAAUCUGACGGUCUAUGACCUACCUUGGUUCGAGUCCAAGUGCCCCCACCA